rnacentral:rRNA from 1 species
GAUGAACGCUAGCGGCAGGCCUAAUACAUGCAAGUCGAACGAGAUUAAGAGGCUUGCUUCUUAUGAAAGUGGCGCACGGGUGCGUAACGCGUAUGCAACCUACCUUAAUCAGGGGGAUAGCCCGAAGAAAUUCGGAUUAAGACCGCAUAAAAACACAGGAUAGCAUUAUCCAAUGUUCAAAUAUUUAUAGGAUUAAGAUGGGCAUGCGUGUCAUUAGCUAGUUGGCGGGGUAACGGCCCACCAAGGCGACGAUGACUAGGGGAUCUGAGAGGAUGACCCCCCACACUGGUAAUGAGACACGGACCAGAAUCCUACGGGAGGCAGCAGUAAGGAAUAUUGGUCAAUGGAGGGAACUCUGAACCAGCCAUGCCGCGUGCAGGAAGACAGCCCUCUGGGUCGUAAACUGCUUUUAUUCGGGAAUAAACCUUUCUACGUGUAGGAAGCUGAAUGUACCGAAGGAAUAAGGAUCGGCUAACUCCGUG